rnacentral:rRNA from 1 species
AGUCGAGCGGGGAAGGGUAGCUUGCUACCUGACCUAGCGGCGGACGGGUGAGUAAUGCUUAGGAAUCUGCCUAUUAGUGGGGGACAACAUUCCGAAAGGAAUGCUAAUACCGCAUACGCCCUACGGGGGAAAGCAGGGGAUCUUCGGACCUUGCGCUAAUAGAUGAGCCUAAGUCAGAUUAGCUAGUUGGUGGGGUAAAGGCCUACCAAGGCGACGAUCUGUAGCGGGUCUGAGAGGAUGAUCCGCCACACUGGGACUGAGACACGGCCCAGACUCCUACGGGAGGCAGCAGUGGGGAAUAUUGGACAAUGGGCGAAAGCCUGAUCCAGCCAUGCCGCGUGUGUGAAGAAGGCCUUUUGGUUGUAAAGCACUUUAAGCGAGGAGGAGGCUACUUGGAUUAAUACUCUAGGAUAGUGGACGUUACUCGCAGAAUAAGCACCGGCUAACUCUGUGCCAGCAGCCGCGGUAAUACAGAGGGUGCGAGCGUUAAUCGGAUUUACUGGGCGUAAAGCGUGCGUAGGCGGCUUUUUAAGUCGGAUGUGAAAUCCCUGAGCUUAACUUAGGAAUUGCAUUCGAUACUGGGAAGCUAGAGUAUGGGAGAGGAUGGUAGAAUUCCAGGUGUAGCGGUGAAAUGCGUAGAGAUCUGGGAGGAAUACCGAUGGCGAAGGCAGCCAUCUGGCCUAAUACUGACGCUGAGGUACGAAAGCAUGGGGAGCAAACAGGAUUAGAUACCCUGGUAGUUCAUGCCGUAAACGAUGUCUACUAGCCCGUUGGGGCCUUUGAGCUUUAGUGGCGCAGCUNCGCGAUAAGUAGACCCGCCUGGGGAGNACCGUCGCAGAACUAAAACUCAAAAUGAAUUGACGGGGGCCC